rnacentral:rRNA from 1 species
CCUACGGGAUGCUGCAGUGGGGAAUAUUGGGCAAUGGGCGCAAGCCUGACCCAGCAACGCCGCGUGAAGGAAGAAGGCUUUCGGGUUGUAAACUUCUUUUGUCAGGGAAGAGUAGAAGACGGUACCUGACGAAUAAGCCACGGCUAACUACGUGCCAGCAGCCGCGGUAAUACGUAGGUGGCAAGCGUUGUACUGAUUUACUGGGUGUAAAGGGCGUGUAGCCGGGUUGACAAGUCAGAUGUGAAAUCCUGCGGCUUAACGGCAGAACUGCAUUUGAAACUGUUGAUCUUGAGUACUGGAGAGGCAGACGGAAUUCCUAGUGUAGCGGUGAAAUGCGUAGAUAUCAGGAGGAACACCAGUGGCGAAGGCGGUCUGCUGGACAGCAACUGACGGUGAGGCGCGAAAGCGUGGGGAGCAAACAGGAUUAGAUACCCGAGUAGUC